CUUAUCCCCAAAACCUCAUUUUUCAACUCUAAACCCUAAACCCUAAACUCUAAACCCUAAACCUUAAACUCUAAACCCUAAACCCUAAACCCUAAACCCUAAACCCUAAACACUAAACCCUAAACCCUAAACCCUAAACUCUAAACCCUAAAUCAUAAACCCUAAACCCUAAACUCUAAACUCUAAACCCUAAACCCUAAACUCUAAAUCCUAAACCCUAAACCCUAAAU
rnacentral:lncRNA from 1 species